rnacentral:rRNA from 1 species
UGAGGAAUAUUGGACAAUGGGAGCAAUCCUGAUCCAGCAAUGCCGCGUGUGGGAUGACGGGGCUUUGCCUUGUAAACCACUGUCGGACGGGACGAGAAGAGGUAUGAACCUCUGGGACGGUACCGUCAAAGGAAGGAUCGGCUAACUACGUGCCAGCAGCCGCGGUAAUACGUAGGAUCCGAGCGUUGUCCGGAAUUACUGGGUAUAAAGGGUGCGUAGGCGGCUUUUUGCGUCAGAGGUGAAAUCCACGGGCUUAACCCGUGGGGUGCCUUUGAAACGGGGAAGCUUGAGUAUGACAGAGGCGGAUGGAAUUCCUGGUGUAGCAGUGAAAUGCGUAGAUAUCAGGAGGAACACCGGUGGCGAAGGCGGUCCGCUGGGUCAUAACUGACGCUGAGGCACG